rfam:Schistosoma mattheei strain Denwood, Zambia genome assembly, scaffold: SMTD_scaffold0005115
GCACUGCUGACGAGUCCCAUGCUAGGACGAAACAGCCGUCCAGUAU